rnacentral:rRNA from 1 species
GACUCAGGAUGAACGCUAGCUACAGGCUUAACACAUGCAAGUCGAGGGGCAGCAUUGGAGUAGCAAUACUCAGAUGGCGACCGGCGCACGGGUGAGUAACACGUAUCCAACCUGCCGCUUACUCGGGGAUAGCCUUUCGAAAGAAAGAUUAAUACCCGAUGGUAUAAAGAGUUCGCAUGUUCUCUUUAUUAAAGAAUUUCGGUAAGCGAUGGGGAUGCGUUCCAUUAGAUAGUUGGCGGGGUAACGGCCCACCAAGUCUACGAUGGAUAGGGGUUCUGAGAGGAAGGUCCCCCACAUUGGAACUGAGACACGGUCCAAACUCCUACGGGAGGCAGCAGUGAGGAAUAUUGGUCAAUGGACGAGAGUCUGAACCAGCCAAAAGUAGCGUGAAGGAUGACUGCCCUAUGGGUUGUAAACUUCUUUUAUAAGGGAAUAAAGUGAGGGACGUGUCCCUUUUUGUAUGUACCUUAUGAAUAAGGAUCGGCUAACUCCGUGCCAGCCGCGGC